CCACCCUCUCCCUGUCCAGAUCUGGACCUCGAUGAGACCUGUGCUGAGGCCCAGGACGAGGAGCUGGACGGGCUGUGGACCACCAUCACCAUCUUCAUCACACUCUUCCUGCUCAGCGUGUGCUACAGCGCCACGGUCACACUCUUCAAGGUCAAGUGGAUCUUCUCCUCCGUGGUGGAGCUGAAGCAGACAAUCGCCCCCAACUACAGGAACAUGAUUGGGCCGGGGCCCUAGGACUGCCUGCUACAAGGGCCCACGGCUUUGCACACCCUGAGGACACAGACCCUGCAGUCAAGGAGCCUGACAGCCAGGUCACACGUGUCCUGGGCCCUCACUGCCCUGUGACCCUGUGGCUCCUGAUCCUAUGCUCUGGACCCCUCUUCCUGUGAAGGAGAAGGUGAACAGCAGGCUCUGCCCCACCACCUCAGCCUC